rnacentral:tRNA from 1 species
GGCGCAGUGGCAGAGUGGUCUAAUGCGAUAGACUAGAAAUCUAUUCUCUUCGGAGGCGUCUGUUUGAAUCAGGCCUGCGUCG